rnacentral:rRNA from 1 species
CAGUAGCCGCGGUAAUGCGUAGGGUGCAAGCGUUAAUCGGAAUUACUGGGCGUAAAGCGUGCGCAGGCGGUUAUGUAAGACAGUUGUGAAAUCCCCGGGCUCAACCUGGGAACUGCAUCUGUGACUGCAUAGCUAGAGUACGGUAGAGGGGGAUGGAAUUCCGCGUGUAGCAGUGAAAUGCGUAGAUAUACGGAGGAACACCGAUGGCGAAGGCAAUCCCCUGGACCUGUACUGACGCUCAUGCACGAAAGCGUGGGGAGCAAACAGGAUUAGAUACCCCCGUAGUCCCUGUCUCUUAUAC